AUGAGCCUCCAGAAGACAUUCUGUGGAGCCGCAGCGCUCGGGCUGAUGGAACUCUGUGCUUUGUGCCUUGUUGGGCUCCUGCGGGCUUGAGGACAGCUCUUACUGAAGCGUUAGAUUGAACGCAGCGGGCCGGGGGCAGUGUGGAAAAGCCCUGCCCGCACGUUGCCCCUUUCCUUCCGUUCUGCCUUUCCUGCCUGCAGGCAGCUCGCUUUGGGCCCCGUUCCUGUAAGUAACAAACUUGUUCAGUGGCACGCUUGUUAAGAAAAAUAACAGUGCUGUCUUGCUGAAUUCUUAUCCAGAAAAAGUAAAUCCCUCUCUGACUGGCGCUUUCUGAAACAGAAUCCCAGAUUCACAGAAUGGCUUGGGUUGGAAGGGGCCUUGGGGAUCAUCCAAUUCCAACCCCCCUGCCAUGGGUAAGGUUAAUUUUUCAAGAUUAGUUAUAUCAUUUGCUGACCUCAUAAGAUGAAUGCUGCAACUCUUUGCUGCUAAGUUGCCUCUUUAUUGGUUACUGCAUCCAUCAUUUUCUGUACAAAUAAAGCUAGUGCUUUUCUCUGCUAAGAACGUGGUGUUGCACUGAUCUGUUAGAGGCAGGAGGAAUGGCUUUUGCAGAACAGAAGAAUUUGAAAUAAAUCUAAAGAAACCUGCUUUAGAAACAUCUGUUUUAAGAGACUUCAUCUUUUGUGGUAGGUGAGAGUUCCAUAUUUGGGGAUGUGGAUACAUUUGAAUCUCUUUCACAGAGUCGUAUUCUGCUAUCUUAGAAGAUGGUGCUGCCCUAUGGUUAUGACUCUGGAGGAUAUUAAUGCUGAGUUUUAGAUCUAAAAUAUCUUCAGACGUAAAAUUGAUGGUUGGACUGUAUGAUCUUCUAGGUCUUUUCCAACCUUGCUAACUCUAAUUCUAUGAAAAUUGCUCUAGAUGUAAACCAAAACUGGACGUCUGAAAACCAAGCAGUAAGAACUCUUCUACCCUCAUUCUUUGUGGGUGCAAGGACGUUUUUCUUGGAUUUUCACAUACAUUGUUUUGGAAGUUGCUCAUUAUGGCCUAACAAGCAAUGGAAGUUUGCCAGAUUGGGGAAAAACAGCUAAAGGUCAUCCAAAAGUCCCUGUGAUGAAGCUAACAGUGGAAAAAUGGGGAUAAAGUAAGUGGGCGUACGACCACUAAAUGCAACUGCGCAUGCACAAAGGAACAUUAGCAUAUAUUAAUGAGUUCUUGGAAAAGAAUGAAUAUGUAUGCCAAUGUACUGCAUGUGUAUGUCUUAACUGUUUAAAUGUAGAACCUGAACUCAGAGAGAGCACUUGUUUGUCAAGUCACCUGGUACGUAUCAUGAGGAAUAAAUGAAUGUCGCUUUCUAACACUA